UUUCGCCUUGGUCUGUGCGCCGGUUGCGACGUCGAACUUGGCGACUGCGUGAUACUUGUCGUCAGACGCUUCGGCGGGGGCGUAGCCCUUGCCCUUCUGUGUCACCACGUGAACCAGGAUUGGCCCGGUCGGCGCAUCGCGCACAUUGGUGAGCACCGGCAGCAGAUGGUCGAGGGUGUGGCCGGNUCGAUCGGCCCGACAUAGAAGAAGCCGAGUUCUUCAAACAGCGUGCCGCCGGUGACCAUGCCGCGCGCAUAUUCCUCGGCGCGCAGCGCGCGAUCCUCGAAGAACUUUGGAAGUUUGUGCGCCAGAUUCUUCAGCGCUUCGCGCGCCGACGCAUAGGUCUUUCCGGACAGCAGCCGCGCGAGAUAGGCCGACAUCGCGCCGACCGGCGGA
rnacentral:misc_RNA from 1 species